rnacentral:tRNA from 1 species
GGAGAGAUGGCCGAGUGGUUGAAGGCGCACGACUCGAAAUCGUGUGUGCGUGAUGAGCGCACCGUGGGUUCGAAUCCCACUCUCUCCG